rnacentral:rRNA from 1 species
GACGAACGCUGGCGGCGUGCCUAAUACAUGCAAGUAGAACGCUGAAGGAGGAGCUUGCUUCUCUGGAUGAGUUGCGAACGGGUGAGUAACGCGUAGGUAACCUGCCUGGUAGCGGGGAUAACUAUUGGAAACGAUAGCUAAUACCGCAUAAUAGCAGUUGUUGCAUGACAACUGUUUGAAAGGUGCAAUUGCACCACUACCAGAUGGACCUGCGUUGUAUUAGCUAGUUGGUGGGGUAACGGCUCACCAAGGCGACGAUACAUAGCCGACCUGAGAGGGUGAUCGGCCACACUGGGACUGAGACACGGCCCAGACUCCUACGGGAGGCAGCAGUAGGGAAUCUUCGGCAAUGGACGGAAGUCUGACCGAGCAACGCCGCGUGAGUGAAGAAGGUUUUCGGAUCGUAAAGCUCUGUUGUAAGAGAAGAACGAGUGUGAGAGUGGAAAGUUCACACUGUGACGGUAUCUUACCAGAAAGGGACGGCUAACUACGUG